CGGCCAUAUGUCCAACAAACAUAUCUAUCAACUUCAUAUAUCUCUUUCAACGCCAUCAUUCUUCCAAAACCCUACCAAAGAAAACCGAGAGAGUUAGGAAAGAGAGAAAGGGCGCGGCGAUGGUGCCGUGUUGAGAAGAAGGCUGCAAAAGCUCCAACAGCGGGGCUGGCCGGCGAAGACUCCUACUCCGAUCAGCAGCCUCGCAACCUACGGACAGCAGCAAUGCACUGAUGAAACUCCGAGGAGGCAGCGGCGGCGGCGGUGUCGCAGCGAGGGGCUGGUGGAUCAAAGAGAGAGGGCUCGAGAUGGAGCGACGGCGGAGCAGCAACAUUAGUUCAGCAGCAAUGAUAGAUGGAGGAGUGACAGCGGCGGUGCGAAGCUGAUCAGGACAGCGAUGGCACAGCUUGUACACUCGACGAAUCCCGAACAACAGCGGCUGUUCUCAGCAACAGCAAUCACGGCUGCUCAUGAUGGACAGCGGCUACGAUGACAGAGAAUUACACCGAACAGCAGCGGCGUUAAGCGCCUGACGAUGAACGGUGGACAGAGACGACGAGUCCAUGGCGUCGGCGAAUUCGCCGCUGUGAUUUCUGCAGUGACGGCGUGGUGUUGAGCAAAUCAGAGCAGCGAUGGAGAGGGGGAAAGGCGUGAGGAAGUACAGGAUGGAGUAUUUGGGGAGUUUAAUUGCUGGAUUAGAGGUGGAUUUCAAGAGAGAGAGGCUGACCUUUGUUUCAAUUUGAGAUCCAGAGAGUUGUUGGAUUAGAAUGUUGAGAGAGAGACGUGGGGUAUUAAAGAGUUGGUUAAUGAUUUAAUUAGGAGACUUAGGCAGCUUGUUUAUUUGAGUUGGAAUGGAAUUUGAAUACAAGAAUGACGAGAGCUUCGGCGGAGUCAAUAGAUGGAUGAAUACGACGUUCUAAGAUUACGGGAAAAUUUCGGAAUCUCCUAAGUAAGAUCGCAGGGGUGAUUGUUGCAUGCUAUUUGAGAACGGAAAGGAUUGACAAGUGAAGAAUUUAAGAGAACGAGGUUGAGCUGUGACGAGGGCGGUGGGUGUUGAGCAUAAAAGUGAAGAAUGUUUAUCAAAUGUUCAGAAUAUGUUGUGUCUUCAUACACAGCAGAAUAAGUAUUCUGCUCUCGAAAUGCUUCCGCUGAAUGUUGUUUCUUUUGAGUUAAUGUAUAAGUUGAGAUAAUAUCAUUUUGAGUUGUUGAUUGUCGAAAUAAUACUCUGAUUUUAUUCGAGCUACUUCUAUUAUAUUGAGAUUUGGUCGA